GUGAUGAAUUAAUUUUUCUAACAUUUACGGCCCUUUUUAAACCUUCGUAAUUUUUAUAUUAUUAAAGUUGUCGUGAUGAAAAUUCUUGACAAGAAAGUUCAAUAGUAACACAAUACUUGUACCGUUUUAGAAACAUGAUUCCAUGAUAUUUUCUCGAUAGAAAAAAAAUACAAAGUUCUCAUUGUUAUUUUUUUUAAAUCUCUGGCAUCUUCAAAAUAACAAACGUAAAGUUACGACUUUUUGGAUAUUAACUAUAAAAUAUACAACCUAUACGUCUACCGUGUUAGAAUUUUGAAAUAUGCGAUGGUUUUGAAAUAAACAAGAAAUACUUGAAAUUAGCGCGCGACCAGCCAAUCUAGCGAGAGCCGUCCUGUACCUUCCUACCCCGAUCGCUGCACGAGUCAUUCCCGCUACGGCCGUCACACGGGGAACUUGUGUCGCUUGUCUUCGAGUCGCGCAAUCGCAACAAAGGGUGACAACACGAUAAGACAAAUGGGGACAAUAAAGAAAAUAAGAAGAAGAAACAUAAAGGUUGGAGGAAAAAGAAUGCUUACAAUUGGAACAAAUUAAUGAAAAAUCCGGAAUCCAGAAGGAAAAUAAACCCACUAAUUGUUCACAAUGUGAACCUUCGUAAGCACCUUCAUUCAGUCAAAAAUUAAUGUUAUCAACGCUCUACUGGUUUUAUCGCAUGAUUCCAUUUUUAGCAAAAAGCAACAAAGUGCAAAGAAAUAAAAAAUCAUGGUGAACUUAGUGGAAGUAUGGUGGACGUAAUAUGGAACAGGAGCUCAUUGGAGUAGUAUUAUAUUUAAAAAAAAUACGAAAAAAAUUCAAGAAUUACAUUUCUUAGUAGGUGGUAGAUACGUAUGUUGUAUAAAGAAUUUGAUGUUGA